UAAAGGCAUGGUCCCGACCUUUAAAUCGACUUUUAUCCAACUUACACAUGCAAGUAUCCGCACUCCAGUGAGUAUGCUCUUGACUCUACAUCUAUAGACUAAGAAACAAGUAUCAGGCUCAAACGAUUAGCCCAUGACACUAAGCUUAGCCACGCCCACAAGGGGAUCCAGCAGUGAUAAACAUUAAACAAUAAGUGAAAACUUGAUUCAGUUAAGAUAAAUAGGAUCGGUAAAACUCGUGCCAGCAACCGCGGUUAGACGAGAGAUCCCAGUCGACUAUAUAACGGCGUAAAGGGUGGUUAGGGAACUGUAAUAAUAGAACUAAAUGGCCCCUUAGCCGUCAUACGCUUUUAGACGCCUGAAACCCACUAACGAAAGUAGUUCUAAAAAUUAGCCCGAACCCACGAAAACCACGAAACAAACUGGGAUUAGAUACCCCACUAUGCCUAGUCAUAAACCAAGACAUUAUUACACAAUUAUGUCCGCCAGGAUACUACGAGCACCAGCUUAAAACCCCAAGGACCUGACGGCGCCUUAGACCCUUCUAGAGGAGCCUGUUCUAAAACCGAUUAUCCCCGUUAAACCUCACCACUUCUAGCAAGUCAGCCUAUAUACCACCGUCGCCAGCUUACCCUGUAAAGGUUAAAUAGUAAGCAGAAUUGGCAUAGCCAAAAACGUCAGGUCGAGGUGUAGCAAAUGAAGCGGGAAGAAAUGGGCUACAUUUUCUAAUGCAGAAUACACGAAUGUGCAAAUUGAAAUUAUGCCUGAAGGAGGAUUUAGUAGUAAAAAAGAAAUAGAGAGUCUUUUUGAACCCGGCUCUAAGGUGCGUACACACCGCCCGUCACUCCCUCCUGUCACAAGCACUGAUUUAUUUUAAAAAAUAGCAUAAACAAGGAGGGGAAAGUCGUAACAAGGUAAGUGUACCGGAAGGUGCACUUGGAAUAACC
rnacentral:ncRNA from 1 species